GCCUCAGUAGCGCAGAUGGCAGCGCGUAAGUCUCAUAAUCUUAAGGUCGUGAGUUCGAUCCUCACCUGGGGCA
rnacentral:tRNA from 1 species